UACAUAAGUUGCCUUAUCGCUUUCUUAUUGAAAGAGGAAAGUCCGGACAACAAAGAGUACCAUACUUCUUAACGGGAAGGAUCUUUAGCAAUAAAGAUACAGAUAGUGCCACAGAAAAUAACCGCCAUUUUUGGUAAGGGUGAAAAAGUGAGGUAAGAGCUCACUAGUUUUAAUAGUGAUAUUAAAUUUGGGUAAACCUUAUGGGUUGAAAGAUCAAAUAUACUAGGGUGCAUUUUAAUGCUAAGAGUUACUCGCUCAAUCCUGGAGGGUAGAUCGAUUGACUAUAUUAGUGAUAAUAUAGCUAGAUAGAUGAUAAGGAUCUUUAGCAAUAAAGAUACAGAAUCCGGCUUAUAAACUUUAUGUAAACU
rnacentral:RNase_P_RNA from 1 species